GGGAGGUGGAGGAAGACAGAAGGAUGGAGGAAGACAGAAGGAUGGGGGAUGGAGGAAGACAGUUGGAUGGAGGAAGACAGAAGGAUGGAGGAAGACAGAAGGAUGGGAGGUGGAGGAAGACAGAAGGAUGGGGGAUGGAGGAAGACAGUAGGAUGGGGGAUGGAGGAAGACAGAAGGAUGGAGGAAGACAGAAGGAUGGGGGGUGGAGGAAGACAGAAGGAUGGAGGAAGACAGAAGGAUGGAGGAUGACAGAAGGAUGGAGGAAGACAGAAGGAUGGAGG
ensembl:lncRNA